rnacentral:rRNA from 1 species
AUUGAACGCUGGCGGCAGGCCUAACACAUGCAAGUCGAACGAGUGGUGGACGGGUGAGUAAUGUCUGGGAAACUGCCUGAUGGAGGGGGAUAACUACUGGAAACGGUAGCUAAUACCGCAUACUGUGAUAUGGACAUGCGUUGUAUUAGCUAGUUGGGGAGGUAAAGGCUAACAAAGGCGACGGUACAUAGCCGACCUGAGAGGGUGAUCGGCCACACGGGGACUGAGACACGGUCCAGACUCCUACGGGAGGCAGCAGUGGGGAAGAUUGCACAAUGGGCGCAAGCCUGAUGCAGCCAUGCCGCGUGUAGGAAGAAGGCCUUCGGGUUGGAAAGUACUUUCAGCGGGGAGGCGUUACCCGCAGAAGAAGCACCGGCUAACUCCGUGCCAGCAGCCGCGGUAAUUC